rnacentral:lncRNA from 1 species
UUUGGUUGUACAUAGAAUGGGAUGGCCACACAUGAUCCCAAACAAGGAGCCCUUUCUGUUUCGUUACUUGAUGAUAUAUACGACUCGUCAUUAAAAAAAAGUUUAUUGGAUGCGUCUAACGUAGGAUUAUUAGAGAAAUUUAUCAUGGCAGUCACUUCAGAUGUUGGAGUUCCUGAGCUCCAGUUACUAAUUGGCUGCCAACGGUAACCUGCAAUAUAUUCGUGUACUAAAACGAAAAUAAGAGAAAAUAAAAAAAGACCAGGUAGAGUCGCAAAAGUCGCAGACUCUGUUCUCAUGAAUCAUGCUAGCAUCCAUGCUGCAUUCCACGCCGCUAGAAUAAUCCUGAUGGCAGCUGCAUGAAAGCUCACGUCAUUAGCACCGUCCACAGUUACUACUGCCGGCAGGGCCACAGGUUUGGAUAUAAAAGUUCCCAGAAAACUAUGCUGCCGAGUAUGAUAACACAACAACAAACCAACCAACCGAAAAAAUGAACAUAACACAACAACAACAAACCAACCGAAAAAAUGAAAGUGGCCCACAAUAUAACAAAAAUUAUGAAAAAUUCUUCGCGCACCGCGGUGGUUGGCUCAUCGCACGGAGCCGGUGAAAAAAAAAUAUAUAUUUUUUUUCCAUGCGCUGUCCGGCUCCGCCCAUAAGCAAAUCACAGCACCCAAUGCGUGCAUUCCCCACCGUA